rnacentral:rRNA from 1 species
AGAGUUUGAUCCUGGCUCAGAAUCAACGCUGGCGGCGUGCCUAACACAUGCAAGUCGCACGAGAAAGUGGAGCAAUCCAUGAGUACAGUGGCGCACGGGUGAGUAACACGUGAAUCAUCUACCUCCGAGUGGGGAAUAACCUAGAGAAAUCUGGGCUAAUACCGCAUAACACUUACGAGUCAAAGCAGCAAUGCGCUUGGAGAGGAGUUCGCGGCCGAUUAGUUAGUUGGCGGGGUAAUGGCCCACCAAGACGAUGAUCGGUAUCCGGCCUGAGAGGGCGCACGGGCACACUGGAACUGAAACACGGUCCAGACUCCUACGGGAGGCAGCAGUGGGGAAUUUUGCGCAAUGGGGGAAACCCUGACGCAGCAACGCCGCGUGGGGGAUGAAAUCCCUUGGGAUG